UGGCAUGGAUCAGAAGAAUUACAGCCCGGGGAAUAUAAAGGGACAGAAAGACUCAGGUACACCGCUUGGUGCCUCCUGCCUACAGCCACAAGCUGAUUCCUGUCUGCCACGACGCUCUCUCUGCCUUGGAGCCCGCCAGCUAUGGACUGAAACCUCUGCAAACUGCUGGCAUUCAACUCAGUAUGUAGCCCGUACUAGCCUCAAACUCACAAUGAUCUUCCUGCGAACUCAGCCUCUCAAAGACGAAGGGGAAGAAAAGCCUGUCAGAAAGAGAAGAGGUAGUGACCCUCUGACUGCCUGUUCGCCCAGAGAGAGAAACUUUACCCUUAGCCCAGACUGGAGGAGCAGAUCACACGUGCACGCUGCCUGCAGGGGAGAACGUUGCUGCAGAGGCAUGUCAGCUCAUAACUGGACCUGUCUGGGAAGAUGGACUGCCUCUAAGUCCUUGGACUGCCUUUACAGGGAUCGAACUCACGACUGUCUGCUUGCAAGGCAGGCGCUUAUGCCGCUGAGCUAAACUCCCCAACUGCAGAAAGACCCACAGACCACCACUGCACCCAGUGGUGUCUCAGAAGACAGCUGAGCGCCAUCCAGCUCCAGCCACAGCUCCCAGGAGCGCCGGAUUGCCAACCCUUGCCGGUUACAGCUGUAAAUACAGCCACUGUUCUGUAAAACCUCCGAACACAUUUUCUAGAUUACCUGAGUUUGUGUUUCCUGGUUUGCAAUCUGAAUUCAUCUAAAAUAAAUGUAAUCUUUUCUAUUCUGAA